UGUAUUGAUUCUUUAUUAUAUUAUUUGAACUCUUAUGAACAAUAUCUACCUAUCUAGAGCAUCAUAGGAAAAAUAGAAUUUUGAUCCCAUAACAUCAAUUUUGAUGUUACCGCAAAAUUUUGAUGUGACUCAACAAUAACAUAACAUCAAUUUGAUAAUUAUUAUAAUGAAAUAUUUAUGUGAUUUAACCAUAAUUGCAAAAUAGUAAAUCAUAAUAUCAAUUUUGCAAAAAUUACUGCAGGACAACCAGAAAAUCUUAGUUCAUAAUAUUUAAAAGAUUUUAUUUAAAAUAUUUCAAUUGAAUAAAUCUAUUUUUUAAUCUGAUUUCUUUUAUGUAUAUAUGAUCUGGCUUCCAUCUUAGAAUAAAUCUAUAUUUCUGAUUUAAUAUCUGAUGUUGUGACUGUACGUUAAGAUUCCAUCGUAACUCCCAUGAAACCAAGCGCAUCGGAUUAAAACUCAAGAAAAGUUUUAACGGUGAGGCCAGUUCUUUCUUCUUCUUUCUCUAAAUAAAAAAAAAAGAAGAAAAAUUGGUUUGAUUUCGUUUUUAGGGUUUACAGACUACGGACAGAGAGAGGGAGAUAUAAUUAUAGGAGGAUAUAUAUAUAUAGAUAUAUACAUACAUAUAUAUAUAUAAUAUAGACGAGAGCCCUAAAAGAAAGAAGAAAAUUUGUGAGAAGGUCGCAAAUGGUUGGGUCAAAUGGCGUUAGGCUUAUUCAAUGCUUGGUUUGGGGUUCCCAUUCCCUUUCUUCCAACCUUGUCCAGCCAAAUUCUAUAUAUAAUACUCUGAUUGCUGGGGGUUUUAGGAGUUUCGCUACCGUACUUGGCAGUCCAGUUAACGUUAUUGGAAAUCACGCUCCCCAAAUUGUGCUUUUGUACCAUUUCUUCCUAAACAGACAGAGAAUCAAGAUACUAUUUGUAUGCUGUGUUGAGUUUUCCCCUCCUUCUCUCCAAGUAUCGAAUUACAUGCUUGCCAAUGCAGCUAGAGCUAGGAACUGCUUGGUUUUGGGACUCUUAAAUGCGAACUUGGGUGCAACUCGGCCAAUUCAUGGCACUGCUACUCUGUCUGCUAGUGAUUAUUACGAUAUACUUGGUGUAAGCAAGAAUGCUACUGCAUCUGAAAUAAAGAAAGCUUAUUUUGGGCUUGCAAAAAAGCUCCAUCCAGAUGUAAAUAAAGAUGAUCCUGAAGCUGAGAAAAAAUUUCAAGAAGUUUCCAAAGCCUAUGAGGUUUUAAAAGAUGAGAACAAGCGUGCAGAGUAUGAUCAGGUUGGCCAUGAAGCAUUUGAGCAGCAGCAAAAUAAUAGAGGCUUUAACGAGGACGAUUUUAAUCCAUUCAAAUUCAGCAACCUUCAAGACAUAUUCAACAUUCAGGAUAUAUUCAAACAUAGAAUUGGCGGCGAAGAUAUUAAGAUUGCGAUUGAAUUGUCAUUUAUGGAAGCUGUUCAGGGAUGCACCAAAACAGUGACAUUUCAAGCUCCAGUGCUUUGUCAAGCUUGUGGUGGAGAAGGUGUUCCUCCUGGUGUGAAACCUGAAAGAUGCCGGUAUUGUGGAGGCUCAGGCAUGGUGUCUAUCAACAAGGGCUUUAUGAGUAUUCGAUCUACUUGUCUGCAUUGUAGUGGAACUGGUCAGUUUGUAACGAAGCUUUGCAAGUCAUGCAAUGGAGCUAGGUUAGUGAAAGGACCAAAAACAGUCAAAUUGGACAUAAUGCCAGGAGUGGAUAACAAUGAGACAUUGAGGGUUUAUGGAAGUGGUGGAGCUGAUCCUGAUAGAAAUCAUCCUGGGGAUCUAUAUGUUACCAUAAAGGUCCGGCAAGACCCUGUUUUUCGUAGAGAAGGUGCCAACAUUCAUGUAGAUGCUGUUUUGAGUGUUAUUCAGGCAAUCUUGGGAGGAACCAUCCAGGUCCCAACUCUUACCGGUGAUGUUGUGCUCAAGGUCUGCCCUGGCACUCAACCUGGCCAGAAGGUAGUUCUGAAGAAUAAAGGGAUUAAAACAAGUAACUCUUACACAGUUGGAGAUCAAUACGUGCACUUCAAUGUCGGCAUCCCAAAGAAUCUGACCCCAAGACAACGUGAAUUAAUUGAAGAGUUUGCUAGAGAAGAGCAAGGUGAAUAUGAUAAGCGUGCUGCUGCCGCUGCAUCCAGCUGAAGACAAGACCAGAAUGACUUUUAAUUUUUGAUAAUCAAUCUAAAGUUAUUCUUGGUAACAGAAAAGAGGAACACAAAGAUAAGAAGAAAUUGGAUUAUUAGUAACAACUCAUGUUUUGGAAGUUUUAUACCAGUAAAUUUUAGAUUGCAUUGAUUUUUAUUUCUUGUAUAAGGUAUUUAAGCUUUUUUUUUUUUUUUACACUCACGGAUGGUAUGGCAUUGAUCCAUCAUUUUGAGCCCAAUGGUGAUGUUUUAUAUAAUUUAUGCAGGUAUUAGUAUAACAUAGUUGCUACAUGAUGCCCCUGCUGGAUUAUGGUCAGAUUUGACUGGUAUACUGAAUUUUUUAAUAGCAUUGAUCUAGGUCUUUGGACAAAACAGUUGAGUCAAUUUCCAUGCUCAUAAAUAUAUGAAGUGGGUUACAAUCUUAGAUCUGAUUUUUUUUAAUAGUUUCUGUUACCUUCCGAUUUCCUAUAAUGCAAGGAGAAACUUGAAAUUUUUGGUUGCGAUAGCAUAAUCCGUUUCCAGCCUUUAGUGGUCUUGGGGAAUGAGAGUUGUAAUUGAUAAGUAUUCGUUUUUUGUAGUAUAGUAUGAAGUAUAGAGUUGUGAGGCAAAAAGAAUUGGUCUCUUGUUGGUAUGUGUUGGCGGCAAAUGCCAUUGCCAAAUACAGGAAUGGUCAACAUCCAGCAAAUUGAUGAUAAAACAGGUAUUUUCAAGAGUGUUUAGAAACUCAAGGAAAGCUAUAUUAUCCAGUGACAGAUUUCUGAUGCUGCAAAAUUGACCAAGACAGGAAGUUUAAGUUGGUUCCUUCGUGGAAAUCAGAUCAAAAGCAGAACUAGCAUAGAGAUGGCAUGAAAGGUAUGAUCUGUGGUUAGGAUAUAGGUACCUAAUGG